UACAGAGGGGGCAAGCGUUAUUCGGAAUUAUUGGGCGUAAAGAGCUUGUAGGCGGUUUGUCGCGUCUGCUGUGAAAUCUCAAGGCUCAACCUUGAGCUUGCAGUGGGUACGGGCAGACUAGAGUGUGGUAGGGGAGACUGGAAUUCCUGGUGUAGCGGUGAAAUGCGCAGAUAUCAGGAGGAACACCGGUGGCGAAGGCAGGUCUCUGGGCCACUACUGACGCUGAGAAGCGAAAGCAUGGGGAGCGAACAGG
rnacentral:rRNA from 1 species